CAACGAGUAUGUAGCACACCCUUCUAGGAAAUGUAGUUCCUGGGCCAACAACCGGGAGCUCGGGCACCGCCAUGCUCUUGCGGGCGAAUGUCGCCGUGUAUCUCGAUGUGCGGAUCAGUGCAGUGCCGCUGAAUGGGUGCCUAAUUGUGAGGAUAUUGGGAGGGCGGUGCCCAAGAACUAGGAUUUGUCCGAUUGAAGUAAAGCUGUCAGUCAAGUUCACCAGCAGGGAGUUCAGCUUGAAGAGGAUGCUGUCCCGAAAACAGACAGGGGUCUUUGGAGUCAAGAUUGCUGUGGUCACCAAGAGAGAGAGGUCCAAGGUGCCCUACAUCGUGUGCUAGUGUGUGGAGGAGAUCAAGCGCAGAGGCAUGGAGGAGGUGGGCAUCUACUGCGUGUCCGGAGUGGCCACAGACAUCCAGGCGCUGAAGGCAGCCUUCGACAUCAAUAACAAGGACGUGUCGGUGAUGAUGAGCGAGAUGGACGUGAACGCCAUCGCAGGCACGCUGAAGCUGUACUUCCGUGAGCUGCCCGAGCCCCUCUUCACUGACGAGUUCUACCCCAACUUCACCGAGGGCAUCGCUCUUUCAGACCCGGUUGCAAAGGAGAGCUACCUGCUCAACCUGCUGCUGUCCCUGCCGGAGGCCAACCUGCUCACCUUCCUUUUCCUUCUGGACCACCUGAAAAGGGUGGCAGAGAAGGAGGCAGUCAAUAAGAAGUCCCUGCACAACCUCGCCAUGGUCUUUGGCCCCACACUGCUCCGGCCCUCAGAGAAGGAGAGCAAGCUCCCUGCCAACCCCAGCCAGCCCAUCACCAUGACUGACUGACCAAGCUGGUCCUUGGAGGUCAUGUCCCAGGUGACUUCAGGGAGCACAUUCAAUGCCUCUGAGGAGUCCCCAGCUCACAAGGAGGGAGGAGAUGGAGAGAGGCUGGUCAACACAAGGGUGGUGCAGGCGGCCCCUCUGGCGUGUGACUCUACUCCCUGUGGGGAUGCUGUGCAAGACAUCUCUAUUGAGGAUGCUGAAUAUGACAUCUGUAAUGAGGACACUGUACGAGACGUCUCUAAUGAGGAUGCUGUAGAAGACAUCUCUAAUGAUGACGCUGUAUACGACAUCGCUAAUGAGGACGCUGUAUAUGACAUCGCUAAUGAGGAUGCUGUACAAUACAUCUCUAAAAAAGAAGAUGCUGCCACUGAUCCAUUUGUACUGGAGAAUGGUAUGUACCCUGAAAUAACUCACUUCCUGAGGGAAAAAUGCUGUCUCUAGGGUACAGAAACCUGAUUCUGGGCUCUGUUUGGGAAGGAGGAUUCCCAAAUCAUUGCUCUGAUGAGAGCAAAUGAUUUUGCAAGUAUAAAACAAUGUUCAGAGAGGCUGU